rnacentral:rRNA from 1 species
AGUGAACGCUGGCGGUAGGCCUAACACAUGCAAGUCGAACGGCAGCACAGUAAGAGCUUGCUCUUACGGGUGGCGAGUGGCGGACGGGUGAGGAAUACAUCGGAAUCUACUUUUUCGUGGGGGAUAACGUAGGGAAACUUACGCUAAUACCGCAUACGACCUACGGGUGAAAGCAGGGGAUCUUCGGACCUUGCGCGAUUGAAUGAGCCGAUGUCGGAUUAGCUAGUUGGCGGGGUAAAGGCCCACCAAGGCGACGAUCCGUAGCUGGUCUGAGUGGAUGACCGCCCACACUGGAACUGAGACACGGUCCAGACUCCUACGGGAGCCCGCAGUGGGGAAUGUUGGACGAUGGGCGCAAGCCUGAUCCAGCCAUACCGCGUGGGUGAAGAAGGCCUUCGGGUUGUAAAGCCCUUUUGUUGGGAAAGAAAAGCAGCAGGUUAAUACCCCGCUGUUCUGACGGUACCCAAAGAAUAAGCACCGGCUAACUUCGUG